CAGCUGGACCGGACGGCCGCUCUCGUCGCGUCAAGUGAUGAGGGAGGAAAGUCCGAACUCCGCAGAGCAGUGUGCCGGAUAACGUCCGGGAGGCCGGCGUCAAGGCCGGUUGACGGAAAGUGCCACAGAAAACAUACCGCCUUUGCUGGCCCGAUUGCGGGGGCGGGGGUAAGGGUGAAAAGGUGCGGCAAGAGCGCACCGCCGUUCGAGUAAUCGGGCGGGCAGGGCAAACCCCACACGGAGCAAGACCAAAUAGGGAGGGAGUUUCGCCGUCGCUGCAGGUUUAGCAGUGAGCGAUUAGGAAUGAGCAUCGAGCCGUCCGUUAAUUCUGGGGUCGCUCGGGUCGUGCCACUAACAGCUCAUGGCUUAAUCGGCAGCGACGGCGAGCGCGUGUCGGCUCGGCGCGUCAGCACCUUCGGGUAGGUCGCUUGAGCCGCACAGUAAUGCGCGGCCCAGAGGAAUGGCCGUCCUGCGGUACGUGGUCCCCGCAAGGGGGAGCUUCCCUGCAGACAGAAUUCGGCUUACAGGUCCGGCUGCCGA
rnacentral:RNase_P_RNA from 1 species